GCCCCGCUCUCCUGCUGCCGCGGGGCGCGGGGACGUUGUGUUGCGCCUCUCCGCGCCCUGCCGGUCGCCCCCGGCCCUACAGCUCAGCUGGGGGCCCGGGCGGCGGCGCGUGUCCUCCGGGAGCGGCGGGGACCUCAGCGGCCGGCCCCUCGGUGGCGGCGACGACAAAGGCAACCGUAAGAGUAACACCAGGAGAAGAAACCGGCUUCCGAGCCCUGGGCCAGCCCCGGGAGUGCCAGACGGCUCAGCUGCGUCCUCCUUGCAUCGUCACUAGCGACACGGAGGUUGAGUGACUUCUCCGGGGUCACCGAGCCCACCCAGCCCGCUGACGCCAGAGCUGACACAGAGACAGUAGGACGAGGAUACACUGCGCAGUGAACCCUUCACAGAUGGAGAAACGGAGGCCCAGAGAGGUGAUGUGGCUUGCCCAAGGACACACAGCUGCCCAUAGCAGGAGUGGGAUUUGAACCCAUGACCCAUCUGACACCAGAGCACUCAAGGCCCGAAGACUCCAACCUCCAUCCCAAACAGUUGCUGCCCCCCCCCACAUGUGUACAAAGAGGCUCAGAGAGGGGAAGUAACUUGCCCAGGGUCACACAGCUGCCAUAGCAGAAAUGGGACUUGAACCCACCACCCUUCAGACUCCCACCACUCAUGGCUGGAAGACUCCAACCUCUAUCCCAAACAGUUGUCUCCCCAACAUGUCUACAAAGCUCCUCGGCAUUUCUCCACCAUCUUUGAGCAGCACUCAACAAACGGCCGGGUUAUUGAUCAUCACCUUACAGGUGCUCUUGAUGACGUGACCCAUUGGGGACUGCAGCUUGCUGCAUGGUGAGAAAGUAGCAUAGGGCAUCUCACUGGCCCAGGACAACGUCCAAAUUCAAAAUUCGAAGUCUGGUUUCUACAGAAUGAGUAUAGCUUUCACACCAUCGUGUCAUUGAAAAAUCGCAAGUCAAACCAUCAUGUAAGUCUGGGACCCACGGCAGGCAUAAUUAACAGGUAUUUGCAGUCAUAGGGCUUCCUAAGGCCAUGUUCUUAGCAAUGAACAUGAAUUAAAUACUCACAACAAGCCCA